rnacentral:rRNA from 1 species
UACGGGGGGGGCAAGCGUUGUUCGGAAUUACUGGGCGUAAAGGGUUCGUAGGGGGCCAACUAAGCCAGACGUGAAAUCCCUCAGCUUAACUGGGGAACUGCGUCUGGGACUGGAUGGCUUGAGUGCAGGAGAGGAACGCGGAAUUCCAGGUGUAGCGGUGAAAUGCGUAGAUAUCUGGAGGAACACCGGUGGCGAAGGCGGCAUCCUGGACCAAUAUUGACGCUGAGGAGCGAAAGCCAGGGGAGCAAACGGG